rnacentral:rRNA from 1 species
UACGAAGGGGGCUAGCGUUGCUCGGAAUUACUGGGCGUAAAGGGCGCGUAGGCGGACAGUUUAGUCAGAGGUGAAAGCCCUCGGCUCAACCAAGGAAGUGCAUCCGAAACUGCUGAGCUUGAGUACUUAAGAGGAUCGCGGAAUUCCCGGUGUAGAGGUGAAAUUCGUAGAUAUCGGGAGGAACACCAGUGGCGAAGGCGGCGAUCUGGGAAGAUACUGACGCUGAGGUGCGAAAGCGUGGGGAGCAAACAGG